GAGGGGAUGGCUCAGUGGUAAGAGCACAUGCUUAGCAUGCAUGAGAUCCGGGGUUCAAUCCCCAGUACCUCCA
rnacentral:tRNA from 1 species